UACAGGCGAUGCCAGUGUUGUGAUUCACUGGGCGUAAAGGGUGCGUAGGCGGCCGGGUAAGUCUGAUGUGAAAUCCCGCAGCUUAACUGCGGAACUGCAUCGGAUACUCUCCGGCUAGAGGAAUGGAGGGGAGACUGGAAUUCUCGGUGUAGCAGUGAAAUGCGUAGAUAUCGAGAGGAACACCAGUGGCGAAGGCGAGUCUCGUGGACAUUUCCUAACGCUGAGGCACGAAAGCCAGGGGAGCAAACGGG
rnacentral:rRNA from 1 species